AAGAUUUAUCGCUUCAAGAUGGCCUCGCGUCUGAUUAGCUAGUUGGCGGGGUAACGGCCCACCAAGGCGACGAUCAGUAGCCGGACUGAGAGGUUGAACGGCCACAUUGGGACUGAGAUACGGCCCAGACUCCUACGGGAGGCAGCAGUGGGGAAUAUUGGGCAAUGGGCGCAAGCCUGACCCAGCAACGCCGCGUGAAGGAAGAAGGCUUUCGGGUUGUAAACUUCUUUUAAGAGGGAAGAGCAGAAGACGGUACCUCUAGAAUAAGCCACGGCUAACUACGUGCCAGCAGCCGCGGUAAUACGUAGGUGGCAAGCGUUGUCCGGAUUUACUGGGUGUAAAGGGCGUGCAGCCGGGUCUGCAAGUCAGAUGUGAAAUCCAUGGGCUCAACCCAUGAACUGCAUUUGAAACUGUAGAUCUUGAGUGUCGGAGGGGCAAUCGGAAUUCCUAGUGUAGCGGUGAAAUGCGUA
rnacentral:rRNA from 1 species